CACCUUAGAACUGUGGCAACAGCUGCCCGGAGCAGGUGGCCCCAGAACGGAGAGCUGGAAUGGUGGCUCUGGCAUGCCUGACCACUGACUCGGGACCAGCUGCUGUGGGAAGAGUCAGGGCACUGAUCCCGGGCCUAGGUCUGACUCUUCCUUCGCCUGCCCAGCCCCACCCACACACUCAGCCCCAAGAGCGCAGGGCAUCCCUGAAAGUCUGCUCUGCAAGCAAGGAAAGCCCACCAAGUGCCUCGAAAGCAACAGAGGUGCAGGCCAUCUUCGCCAUCACUGGCCUCUGCUUCCUGCCCGAGCUGGCAGGGGGCGUAGCCUGAGCCUGGUGUUCAGGAGACAGAAGAGGCCUCACCUGGGUAGCAAUGAUGUAUUGGACACCACCAGGGCUGGGCUCCAUGGCCAGUGCAGCUUUCAGCGUAUCAGAGAGAAGAACAGGUGUCAGCUGCAGUCCCUUCAGAAACCUGGGCAAAGAGGGCAGGAAUGCGUGCACGGCUCCAAGAGUAAAAUGUCCAGGAUGGAGACAGCGGGCGGGUGGGGCUGUCAGGGCAGGAGGUGGGGCAGGCACUGCAGGUGGGGAAUGGGUUUCCUUCAGGGAUAGGGAGGAAGUCAUGAGGUAGACAGGACACAGUGGUCGGACUCCACGCUGGCCCCCAGCGGGGCUCGGGCUUUGUGGAUCCUUCCCUUUUCUCUCUUCUGGUGCUGGGAUGGAACCAGGGGCACUUCGCCACAAAGCUACGUUCCCCAUCCUUCAGUGUCCACGUGUACACAUGGCCCACGUGGCCCCAGGCAGGAUGUGCCAUGGUGCUUGCUACCCGGCCCAGGCUCAGUGUCAUGACCUUCGGUGCCUGUGCCUGGCAGGAAGGUCCAGGGCACUGUCUCCAAGGAAGGACGGGGAAAGGACCACACUCACUUGUCUCCAUUCGUCUCUGGGGGGAAGCUGUGUCUCACAGCAGCCACAAACUCAGCCACGGUGUCCUCCAGGGUGAAGAUCACAGCGUUGGGGCCCGCGUCAAACGUGUACGCCACCUGGAGCCCACGGCAGUCAACCUAGUGCUCACACAGGGCCCACCCCUCCCAGACCCUCUAUCUGCCAGGGGGAUGUGGGUGUCCAGGAGCCGAGGGAGGCCCGUGGGGAACAAAAAUGAGAAGUACUGCCGCCUGCCACUCAGGAAGAGGCAGUGAGGCUGUGACCCGAGGGGCCAGGCAACCAGCCAAGUAGCCCACAGCACCCUGGAGCCUCCCGGCUCUGCCUGCAGCAGGGGUCACGUCUGAGCCGCCCUGCCGCGCCUCACCUUCGUCUGCCCGUGGCAGGCGUUGAAACGGUGCACCAGCUGCACGAUCCGUCUGGAGACAUCGUUGAGGUAGGAGAUUGGGGGGAAAGUGUCCAGGCAGGUGGCGUGGAACUGGUUGCUGUCCUUCAUGGUCAGCUCAGCAAAACCCGGGAAGUCCCGGGCCUGGAUGCAGGAGAUCAUCUCCCGCAUGCGCGACGGCACCACCGACUCUGCCCGGAACUGCAAGGUUCAGGCCGUUCUCCAAGGAGGCGCUGGCUCUGGGACCACAGCGUGGCUCCAGCACAGGCCCCUGAGCGAGAGGCCUGGUGAGCCCCGGGGCUGCCCUCCUGCCCCACUCACCUUGAGCAGGGAGCUGGUCUCCACACUGGUCUGCAUGCCCACUGUGCUGCCCAUCUGCUUCUUCUCCGCGCUCACCUACGGCAGGCGAGCUGAGCUCUGCUGAGCAGGGAGCUGUGCCAAGCCUGCAGACCCCAGCCCCGACACUCGGCCCUCCCACCACGGGCAGGCAGUGGGGGCCAUAGUCAGGUGACCUGCGUUCAGGACUGGCCACAUCCCCCUCACAGAAGGGCAGCAGCCCGGCCACAUGGGGCCACUCCUGACAGCUCGGCCUUGGGUAGGCUCCUUCAGCCCUGCUGACCCAAGAGCCCAGGGAAGCCUGGGAGGAGCCCAGUUCCUGGUCUCAGCCCAACCUGACCACAGGACAGCGAGCCAGCUGCUGGCCACGCCCUAGGCCACUCACCACAAGGACGAGGACUCGGAGCUGGGGCCAAUGUGACUCAGGAGCCACCUGCCGGGCGACACUGUCCUUCCCAUCAGCCUGCUCCCCCAUCUGCCACUCCACAAAGCCCCCGUACAGGCUCCGGCAGGCGCUGCCAGAGCCACGGCGUGCCACUUCGGAGAGGUCGUCCUCAACCCCAUAGACCCGGGCCAGGGUAUAGGCUGCAGGAGGAGGAGGGCAUCAGAAGGGCCGGUACACAGAGCAUCCUUAUCACCUGAGACUUUCUGAGACGGCAGAUCCUGCACAGUGGCUCCCGGGGUCAGCACCCACUGGCUCAGGCACUCCCUGGUUACUUGGCACCUCCCAGGCCACACUAGAGGGGUAGUCUCCUGCAACUACCCAGGGGACCGGAGCCACCGGGGACUGGAGAAAGCUUCUCCAGGGUCAGUGACCAAGUUGGGAUCUGGGGGAUGGGAAAGAGUCUGGAAGGUCCCUGGAGAGAGAUCAAGGCAGGAGGCCUGGGCAGCGUGCCCACUAGGGGUGCAGGUGGCAAUGGGAGGCAGGAUGUGACAGGCUCUCUAGAGGGUGGUCCUGCCUCCAGGCCUGGCUCACCCACAGCCCUAGUCAGAGGCAGCUCAGAAACUUAGCGGGGCCAGUGAGCACCAUUCUGGACUCAGAGACGAGGGUGGUGGCUCGCCACUGUGUGACUGGUGGUGCCACCAGCUGGGGACAGCCUGCCAGAGGUGCCCAAAGCAGAGGGAAGCAGAGCUGAGAUUCUGGUGGCAAGAGCUGGACUCCUGCUGAGCCUGCUGGAGAGCCUGACCCAGCUAUGCCAAGGCCAGGGCAGCCCCUGCAGCCCUCAGUUCCAGGAGGAAGAAGGUCACUCAAGCCAGCCUGAGGUGGUUUUUGUCCCAGACUGCAGGGCCUGAACAGGGCAUGUUCAGAGGUGAGUCCUGGACCACAGAGCCUGGCGCUGGCUCCCCACGUGCUGCAAGAGCACAGAGAACAGAGGGGACCUUGCUGUGGACACCUACCUAGGCAGGCAUAGCCUGCUGCCGAGGAGGCCAGGCCUGCAGCCGUGGGGAAGUUGUUCUCAGAGGCUAUGUGCACCUUGUAGCUGAGGCUCAGAGGCAAUGAGUCUCCAUCGCCUGUGCUUCUCCGCUUCCGAGCCAGGCGGCGAACUGCCGAGAAGGGAAGACAGUGAGUGGUCCUGCCACGGGGCAGACCCGCGCUGGCGUCUUGCCUGCCAGGUGGCACCACCAGUCACACAGCGGGUACAGCUGAAGAAUGACCUCCACCCCUCAGAUAGCCCUCCCCGCUCUGGGAAAGCCUGGGCCCCAGCCAGCUCUCUCCCAGUCAUAUGAAUACCAGAAAUAAUUACAGGAUUAUAGACUGCUGACUGUAUCGAUUAGUGAAUGUGUAUUGACUGAAUAGUGAAUGACGUUAAGCAACGUGCCUGUGAUGUAACGUGAACUGCAAAACUUAGACUUCAGUUAGUGACGUCAGCGUCUACCCCAAGCGUACACCCCAGACCUCACCCAGUUAUAAGCUGUAAGCACAACUGAACUAGGACUUAAAAACCCAGACUUCUGGGGGGCGACGGGACUAACAGGCCUCUGUCACUGUUGUCCCCCCUGCACCAGAUUCCUCCAGCCUGGAUCAAGUUCCAGUGACCUGGACUUAAGACACGUCACUGGUGAGCGCUUGGGACCCUUGAGUGUAGACUCAGUUAGGACUUAGAAUUAGGAUGUGUGUCUGAAGUGUGAUGAGCAUUAAUAAAACAGAUUUGAUUAAA